AUUUCAGCAGCAGCGUCCUGGCAACAGAGCAAUUUUCUAUCAUCAAGGAUAAAUGGCAUCGAACAGAACAUUCUGAUAAAAAAGAAAAAAAAAAAAAAAGCUUUAGCCCGAGAAGCCCAUGAUUGCUGCCCUUCCUGUCUGUCAUCCCUUUACAAAAUCCUCUCCUCCAAACCUGAGCUGCAUGCUGUCAGAGCUAAUAACGUCUUCUAAAGAAAAGGGGAAGAAACGGCAUUCGUGCACAAUGUUCCCAUUUAUUACAUAGAGUGCUUAUUUUAAAAAAUCGCAAAUAUAUUUGUUUGGUUCACCGCAAAUUAAAACCAAGAUAUAGGAAGUUACGCGAUGCAACAAUUAUUCGUGUCACAGCAGAGCAUCAAACCCCCGGAUCUUGCUUUUCCAUUGGUUAGCGCGUGUGUGCGCGUUGUGUGUGUGUGUGUGUAACGCAGGGAAUAUCCCUUGUUAUGAAAAUAAAAAUCCACUCCGAUCCUCCCGGUAAGGCUGGCUUUUGUUGCUGGAGAGCUAAGGGGGAACAAAACGCGCACUGAUGGAGGCAGUGCGGAGCGGGGGGCAGAGCGCAGAGCCGCCCGCAGAGGCCGGUCGGUGUGCGGGGCCGCCGGGCGAGGUGCGGCCGUCCCGGCCCCCCAUACUGGCUUUGACUGAGAGCGCGGCGUGCGCGCCUGUACGGAGAGGGGCUGCAAGGCGUGGAGGAGCCCUGUGAGGCUGUCCGAGCUCUCAGCGCAGGCCGAGGACGUGCGGGAAGACAAGGCCGGGAGGCGCUGCCGGAGCGCCGGGGAGAGGCGAUGGCUGCGUGCGGAGGGCACCCGGCCCGCACCUGCGCCUCCUCCCCCGGCCCGUUCCCACCGCCGCUCCGUGACGACGGGAAGAUUAACGAGGCCUCUCAGCAGCACCUGUCUGUUUAAGCUGUCGACACAGCCAAUUAAUACUUUUAAUUACCCCUACCGGGAAACUAACCAGAGCCCCUCUGCUUUGGGUCGCCCGCUGCGCUUUCUCACCCGCAAAACGAAGCAGAGCGGCGGAGGGAGGAGCGGCGUGGGGUUGGGAGGGGGGGGGAGGAAUUCCUGAAAGACUGGGGAUUAUUACAGGGGGUCGGGAGGGAGAUUUGAGUUUGGGUUUAUUUCGCUCCGCUUCCCCCAGAACUCCGGGGCCGGAGGAACGCGCGGCUCUGGCUCUCAGGAGGGCUCCCCGAGCCCAUCCCGGCCCGCUCGGCCCACGGGCUCCCCGAACACGCGGCUCCGGCCCGACCUCGGGCACCGCUCCCUCCGCCCCGGCGCUGUGCGGAGCCGGGCGCUCCCUUCUGGGAACCCCGUGCCGCUCUCGGGCCUCGCAGCUCUGUCACAGCCGCGGUGUCCCGCGUUAAAACAACGUAAAUCCGCGACGGAUCCUGAAUGUGAAUGAGGCAUGGGUCGUGUGACUGCUGCUGAGCUGUGCCGCGCCGAAUGUGGCUUUAAUUAAAUGUCUUCCGGCUCUAAAAGAUUACACGUUGUGCAAGAUAUAUCCUAGCGUGAAAUUCACUUCGGCGAUACGAAAUGAGUCCGUUGAGACCCUGACAAAAGAGGCUGUAGAGAGAUGGAGAUGCGAGAUAAACCCAUCGGGCAAUCUCAUUACGUGGCAACGAGCGAAGAGCCCUCCUCGCAAUCGACUCGAGAUAACGAGGCUGCCUGGAGGAACGAGCGAAGCCCGGAUAUUUACUUCUUUUCCUAUUAAAUAAACCUCAAUAACUGCAUUGGCUUUGCGCGGUGUUUACUACAUUUUCAUUCAGCGUUUGGGUAAAUGCAUCCCUAAAGGUAGAGUAAAUAAUUGCACUGAUCUCAACAAGGGAAACGUGUAGGCAUCUGAAGCGUACUAAAAAUAAACGAAGGCGAUCAGACUGCGGGGAGAGGACCCCGCGCUCGUUGCCGCAGUUAAAGCCCCUCUCCCCCAUCGGGGCCGCCCGGACGGGGCCGCGCUGCGGGCGGUGCGCG
ensembl:lncRNA